ensembl:lncRNA
UUUAGAAACUGGAUCUGUUUCAGUUAAAGCCCAAAUAAACAUGAUUUGCAUGUUUUCAAAUGAACUGUAUGUCAGAGUCCAGCGGCUCAUAAUCAAACAGCUUCAUAUGUGUCUCUCAUAUCAGACUCUCUCAACUCUUGGACUGUCGACUUCAGCUCAUGAAUGUAAUAAGACAAAUAUAUAAGGUUUAUUUCCAAAGCCUGUAGAAAACAAAACUAACAUGUGUCUCUAACAGGACGCUGUCUCUGGGAAUCAUGUCUGGAAAAAAGCAGAAUUUGUUGCUUCUGAUGAUCAUCUGUUGUGCUCUGUGCCAGAUAAGUACAAGAUGCACAUCAGUUGUUGACACUUGCCAAAUCAACUUCAUCACCUCCAGCUCUGGUCUAUCUAAUGGUGCCUGCAAAGUCACUCCAAUCAAAUCCAGUCCAGUCACACUCCAAGGCUCCUCAGAUAAUCUGAUAAUCCAAGUCAAUUCAUCAGAUCAGUGUUUCUGGAACAGCAGUAGCUCAACAGUUCCAGAUAUUAAACGGACAUGUCUAUCAAAAGAUGAAGAGACUAUUACACUAAACAUCUCUUCUCUUGUUUCAGGACAAUGCAAAUUAUACAGUUUCAACAUAACAAAAGAUAAUGCGAAACAGGAAAUCAGAAUGAACGAGACAGUUGAAGGCAUUAAACUGUGGUCAGUGUCAAACGGAUGUAUAAAACAUAUUAACAAUUAUUUCCAAAUCAACUGCAUCCCCUCCAGCUCUUGUAAAUUCAGUGAUGUCUACCUAUCCAAUGACAAUCAAAUCACAUCCACAGGCUCCUCAGAUAAUCUGAUAAUCCAAGUCAAUUCAUCAGAUCAUUGUUUCUGGAACAGAAGUAGCUCAACAGCUCCAGAUAUAAAAUGGACAUGUCUAUCAGAUGAUGAAGAGACUAUUACACUAAACAUCUCUUCUCUUGAUUCAGGACAAUGCAGAUCUUACAGUUUCAGCAUAAAAAAAGAUCAUGGGAAUUAUGAAAUCAGAAUGAACGAGACGGUUGAAGCCAUUACAUUGUGGUUAGUGCCAAAUAGAUGCAUAAAAAAUACUACCACUUAUCACCAAAGUAGCUGCAUUAACUCCAGUUCUGGUAUUUUCAGUGAUGUCUACCUAUCCAAUGACAAUCCUAUCACAUACACAGGUUGUGGGUACAGCAAGUCUGAAGAGAAAUGUACAAAUUUGGUAUAUAACCAAGAUAUAUGUAGAGAGAAUGAAGGAAGCAAAUACAUUCUGAAAUAUAAUCAAAAUAAUGAAUGGACAUGUGUGACCUGCUUUGAUGGAAGUUCAACCACCAUUACACCACCAUCACACACCACAACUACACACAAUCCAACUACAAGUUUCACACCACACAAUACAAUUCAAAAUCCCAGUACCAGAUUGACAUCACAAACAACCACUCAAAAGCCCACUACAAAUUUCACAUCACAAAGUACAACUCCUGGAUAUACUGAUCCCGCAAAAGCAUCUGAAGCCUUGGACAAGCUGGGGUCUAAGUUGGAAGAGAUGGAAAAAAACAAUACAAGCAAUGCAGCGAUUGUCAUGGGAGAUGUUAUUGGUCUUGUUCACGUUCAAGCCAAGAACACAGAAACCAAAGAGAUCAACAUAUGCUACUCUUCAGAUCAAGCUAUGGUAAAACUUAGAAAUCAGAAUCAGAAUGAGCUUUAUUACCAGGUAUGUUCACACAUACAAGGAAUUUGUUUUCGUGAUAGAAGCUCAGCAGUGCAACAGAAUGACAGCGACAGAACAAAAAACACAUAAUAAAUGAAUAAAAUAUAGUAGACAUACAAAUAAGUAGGUAAGGAAUGACAAUAUACAAAUUGACAAUUGUAUGGCAGGUAUAUAAGCAGGUAUGUAUGUACAGGCAUCUUAUGUGCAAAUUUUAAGUGUAAAUAUAAAUAGUGUAGUGUGUUCCACAGU